rnacentral:rRNA from 1 species
UACGUAGGGUGCAAGCGUUAAUCGGAAUUACUGGGCGUAAAGCGUGCGCAGGCGGUGAUGUAAGACAGUUGUGAAAUCCCCGGGCUCAACCUGGGAGCUGCAUCUGUGACUGCAUCGCUGGAGUGCGGCAGAGGGGGAUGGAAUUCCGCGUGUAGCAGUGAAAUGCGUAGAUAUCGGAAGAACACCGAUGGCGAAGGCAACCACCUGGGCCUGCAUUGACGCUGAGGUACGAAAGCGUGGGGAGCAAACAGG